CAGACGAUGCGUCAUGCAUAUCAAUAAGCGGAGGAAAAGAAACUAACAAGGAUUCCCUUAGUAACGGCGAGUGAAGCAGGAAGAGCUCAAAUUUGAAAUCUUCAAGGUUUUACCUUGACGAAUUGUAGUUUAAAGAAGUGUUUUCUGUUGAAGUUUUGGUAAAAGUUCUUUGGAAUAGGACAUCAUAGAGGGUGAGAAUCCCGUAUUUGACCAUUAUUUUCAGCUGUGUGAUACACUUUCAAAGAGUCGGAUUGUUUGGGAAUGCAGUCCAAAAUGGGUGGUAAAUUUCAUCUAAAGCUAAAUAUUGGCGAGAGACCGAUAGCGAACAAGUACCGUGAGGGAAAGAUGAAAAGAACUUUGAAAAGAGAGUUAAACAGUACGUGAAAUUGUCAAAAGGGAAGCGUUUGACACCAGUGUUGUUUUCUCGAAAAUCAAUUAAAAGAGUGGAUUCAUGCUAGUUGUAUUGACCUUAAUCAGCUUGCUUCACUCUUUUCCUGCUUUCUUUAAUGCACUUUUCGUUUAACAAGUCAACAUCAGUUUCUUUUGUUGUAAAAGGGUCAUUGGAAGGUGGCUUUCUCUUCGGAGAAAGUGUUUAUAGCCUUUGAUCUCUGCAAUCGGAGAGACUGAGGUCUGCAGCGUAGAUCCUUCGGGGUUAGAUACAUUUGUGCUAAGCUACAGCUUUUCAUAGACAACUUGUUGACUAUGUUUAGUCUUGUAACUUACCCGCUUAUGCUAUUUUACCUACGCUUAGGAUGUUGAUAUGCAUGACUGAUAU
rnacentral:rRNA from 1 species